AUUGAACGCUGGCGGCAUGCCUUACACAUGCAAGUCGAACGGCAGCACGGGUGCUUGCCCCUGGUGGCGAGUGGCGAACGAGUGAGUAAUACAUCGGAACAUGUCCUGUAGUGGGGGAUAGCCCGGCGAAAGCCGGAUUAAUACCGCAUACGAUCUACGGAUGACAGCGGGGGACCUUCGGGCCUCGCGCUAUAGGGUUGGCCGAUGGCUGAUUAGCUAGUUGGUGGGGUAAAGGCCUACCAAGGCGACGAUCAGUAGCUGGUCUGAGAGGACGACCAGCCACACUGGGACUGAGACACGGCCCAGACUCCUACGGGAGGCAGCAGUGGGGAAUUUUGGACAAUGGGCGAAAGCCUGAUCCAGCAAUGCCGCGUGUGUGAAGAAGGCCUUCGGGUUGUAAAGCACUUUUGUCCGGAAAGAAAUCCUUGGCCCUAAUACGGUCGGGGGAUGACGGUACCGGAAGAAUAAGCACCGGCUAACUACGUG
rnacentral:rRNA from 1 species